GAAACAUUUCGACCGUCGGUCUACCGAGGAAUUUCAUCCGCUCGGUGGAAGAUCUUCCCAAUGUCGU
rnacentral:pre_miRNA from 1 species